UACGAAGGGUGCAAGCGUUACUCGGAAUUACUGGGCGUAAAGGGUGCGUAGGCGGUUUUUUAAGUCUGUCGUGAAAUCCCCGGGCUCAACCUGGGAAUGGCGAUGGAUACUGGCGAGCUAGAGUGUGUCAGAGGAUGGUGGAAUUCCCGGUGUAGCGGUGAAAUGCGUAGAGAUCGGGAGGAACAUCAGUGGCGAAGGCGGCCAUCUGGGACAACACUGACGCUGAAGCACGAAAGCGUGGGGAGCAAACAGG
rnacentral:rRNA from 1 species